GGAACCAGAUGUAGUGCUGGCUCAGGAUCCACAGAACAGAGCAGGGAUGGACGAUCAUAUUUGCAAACCCACUGUGUAUCAGCACAGGCAGGAGUAGUGUUGACAAUCUAAAACCAUCUAAAGCUAGGAGGAGGGAAAAAAAGCAACUACCUCAGACAAAAGCCUGAAGGGGACUUCACCACAUUCAGCCCUAUUUAUUCAGCACAGCCAUCUCUCCUUCCACUAAGUAGGCUGAGCCUAGAGGCAGAAGGGCACAGUCAGCAGUGUAUACCCAAGAGUAUAGAGAGCCUGUGGGAGUCAGCAAGAUCACUGACCUCAGAACCUGACAUCACAGGCAAUGAGAUGAAAGGAGGAAAGAGAGAGGAGGAGCUGCCUCUUGAUUUCUCACUAAGGACCAGCAUCCUGAGAAGAAGGAUGUGUAACACUGCCUUCCCUGACUCUGCAUGGAACACCAUCCUGCUCUCUUGGGUUGCUGUCUUUCUCCUGGGAAUAAAACACAUGGAGGCUGCAGUCACCCAAAGCCCAAGAAACAAGGUGACAGUAACAGGAAAAACUGUGACAUUGAGCUGUCACCAGACUAAUAGCCACAACUACAUGUACUGGUAUCGGCAAGACGUGGCGCAUGGUCUGAGGCUGAUCUAUUACUCAUAUGGUGCUGGCACCUUUGACAAAGGAGAUAUCCCUGAUGGAUACAAUGCCUCCAGAACAAGACAAGAAGACUUCUCCCUCAUUCUGAAGUUGGCUUCCCCCUCUCAGACAUCUGUGUACUUCUGUGCCAGCAGUGAUACACAGUGGUGUGUGGCUUCCUGUCCUCCACACAGAAAGGAAAUUAGGAAAAAAAAUGUUGCCUGUGUGCCUAUGGAAGUCCCUGCCUCCGUAAGAGUCACUGAGCUCUGACAAGCUAGGACUCUUACAGGAUGGGUUUCUAGCUGCCCAAAGGCCAUUCUAACACCUUUUCACUGAAGGUUUUCUUAUGUCCACUUCUUGUCUCUGUUUUUAAAGUCAAAGAUGAUUUUUUAAGAAGACAGUAUUUUUCUUUAUAACAGUUCUGGCUGUCCUGGAACUAGUACUGUAGACCAAGCUGGCCUGAAAGUCAUAGAGAUCUGUCUACCUCUCUCUCUAGUGUGUUGUAUUUAAAGGCUUGUGCAAUCACAUCUGGCUGAACAUGAAUCUUUAAUUGAAGUUCCUGAGGAUGGUUUAGAUAACCUGAGAGCCAUCAUUUCAGUCCUGAUGGCCUUCAGUUAGUUCCUCAACCAUUUUACUGUCCACUUAGUCACUUAUAUGAUCUCUUUCUAGCCCGUGUGUACUCUAUAGGUCAGUAGCCUCUAUUUUUAUAUACAGCAAGAACCCAUAACAUUGCAUGUCAUUUUUCUUUGCUCAUUGGUGUCAUCAACCUUUACCCAGCAUCCCCUGAUGUUUUCAUCAUCAGCUAACUUUAUCUACAUACAUGUACUUUUUCAUAUAUGUUGUGGUAUUUUCUAUUCUGGAGAUUUUUUUUCCAAGGACAUUUCUUCUGCAUAGAAGACAUACCUUUCCCUCUUGUUUCUAGAGCUCUUCUCCCAGGGAAAAUAUAUUCCAGGUUUAAUUACUUUUCUUUUACCUUCCUAAGAUGUCAAUUUAAUAACAUUAUUUCUAUCCUUCCACAUGUUUUGUUCCCCUUUUAUA